rnacentral:rRNA from 1 species
GUGCCAGCAGCCGCGGUAAUACGUAGGUGGCAAGCGUUGUCCGGAAUUAUUGGGCGUAAAGCGCGCGCAGGCGGUCCUUUAAGUCUGAUGUGAAAGCCCACGGCUCAACCGUGGAGGGUCAUUGGAAACUGGGGGGACUUGAGUGCAGAAGAGGGAAAGCGGAAUUCCACGUGUAGCGGUGAAAUGCGUAGAGAUGUGGAGGGAACACCAGUGGCGAAGGCGGCUUUCUGGUCUGUAACUGACGCUGAGGCGCGAAAGCGUGGGGGAGCAAACAGGAUUAGAUACCCUGGUAGUCC